ensembl:lncRNA
AACCAUGAUUACUUUAAGACAAGCUAGCAAGUACAAACAUUUUCUUUAGGAAAUGUAAUUUUCCAUGUAUUAUUAUUUUCUCUUAGAUUCGGCACAGUGGGAGUUUUUGUUAAACUGAUAUUCAAGGUCAAAACACCAGUCCCCACUGAGGAUGAUGUCCUUGGUGCCGUCAAGAAACAAUUGUCUCCUCAAUUCACGACCACUCAAACCACCUUCCAGAAUGCAACUUAUAUCAGUGAGUUCUACAAAUUAGGCUUCAUGAAGACAUUAUUUCCACUCUCUAUAAAAUCAUUUCUUAAUAAAUAAACAUUCAACUGCUCCUGCUAUCUAAAUACUUAUUGAAUGUUUUUUAAUGUUGUUGAAACUCCUAAAUUGUAGCAGUUAAUUUGAUCUGUUGCUAUAGUGACCAUUUUUUGUGUGCUCACAGAACUUACAGAUACUUCAUUUGCCAUCGACCUUGGUUUCAAAAUAACCAAUGUAACCCAGGAGUCUCUAAGUAAUAGACUCACACUCACCAAUGAGACCGAAACCCAGAUACAGGAUUCAAUUAACAGACUAGUAAGAUACUGUACUUCUACACAUAAGAUACAUCCAUGGUCAUGUUCAGGUCAUGAUAGUAAUUGACAACUUGAUGUUUUGUCCCCUUUUAGCUCCAAAGGUUCUCAGUGAACCAGAUGGCAAACAGUUUAAAUUUCCCAACGCCAACCUCAUGUAAGUACAACGUCAUAACCUUGAACCAACCUGUCUUUCUCAACUGCACUCUUUAGAAUUUCUGCAGAUUUCAUUUAGCUGCUGCUUGUACAGCUAAACAGGAUGAAGGGAACAUGUUUAACUCUCACACAAAACCCAUUUUUACGUCCACAGUGUUGAUGGCACUGAAAUCACGGCAAACGUGACAUAUGUAUACAAAGAGGAAGAUGUCAACCACCCUAGUGGUUUUCUACAGGAAGUCUUAAAAGUCUCAGGUCUCCUGACCACCACUGUUGCCCCAACAACAACUACCAACUCCACACCACUUCCUACCCUUUUGACUUCAGUGACAUCAACAACUAGAUUCGGCACAGUGGGAGUUUUUGUUAAACUGAUAUUCAAGGUCAAAACACCAGUCCCCACUGAGGAUGAUGUCCUUGGUGCCGUCAAGAAACAAUUGUCUCCUCAAUUCACGACCACUCAAACCACCUUCCAGAAUGCAACUUAUAUCAAACUUACAGAUACUUCAUUUGCCAUCGACCUUGGUUUCAAAAUAACCAAUGUAACCCAGGAGUCUCUAAGUAAUAGACUCACACUCACCAAUGAGACCGAAACCCAGAUACAGGAUUCAAUUAACAGACUACUCCAAAAGGUUCUCAGUGAACCAGAUGGCAAACAGUUUAAAUUUCCCAACGCCAACCUCAUUGUUGAUGGCACUGAAAUCACGGCAAACGUGACAUAUGUAUACAAAGAGGAAGAUGUCAACCACCCUAGUGGUUUUCUACAGGAAGUCUUAAAAGUCUCAGGUCUCCUGACCACCACUGUUGCCCCAACAACAACUACCAAAACCACACCACUACCUACCCUAUUGACUUCAGUGACAUCAACAACUAGAUUCGGCACAGCCGUGGUUAUUGUUAAACUGAUAUUCAACCUCAAAACACCAGUCCCCACUGAGGCUGAUGUCCUUGGUGCCGUCAAUAAGCAACUGUCUCUUCAAUCCAAGACCACUCAAACCACCUUCCAGAAUGCAACUUAUAUCAAACUUUCAGAUACUUCAUUUGCCAUCAACCUUGGUUUCAAAAUAACCAAUGUAACCCUGGAGUCUCUAAGUAAUAGACUCACAUUCACCAAUGAGACCUACGUCCAGAUACAGCUUUCAAUUAACACACUUCUCCGUCAACUUCUCAGUGAACCAAACGGCAACCAGUUUCAAUUUCCCAACGCCAACUUCAUUGCUGAUGGCACUGAAAUCAGGGCAAAUGUGACGUAUGUAUACAAAGAGGAUGAUGUCAACCACCCUAGUGGUUUUCUACAGGAAGUCUUAAAAGUCUCAGGUCUCCUGACCACCACUGUUUCCCCAACAACAACAACAACAACAACAACUACCAACACCACACCACUUCCUACCCUUUUGACUUCAGUGACAUCAACAACUAGAUUCGGCACAGUGGUGGUUUUUGUUAAACUGAUAUUCAAGCUCAAAACACCAGUCCCCACUGAGGAUGAUGUCCUUGGUGCCGUCAAGAAGCAAUUGUCUCGUCAAUUCAGGACCACUCAAACCACCUACCAGAAUGCAACUUAUAUCAAACUUACAGAUACUUCAUUUGCCAUCAACCUUGGUUUCAAAAUAACCAAUGUAACCCUGGAGUCUCUAAGUCAUAGACUCACAUUCACCAACGAGACCUACAUCAAGAUACAGGAUUCAAUUAACAGUCUACUCCAUAAGGUUCUCAGUGAACCAGACGGCAAACAGUUUCAAUUUCCCAACGCCAACUUCGUUGCUGAUGGCACUGAAAUCACGGCAAAUGUGACGUAUGUUUACAAAGAGGAAGAUGUCAACCACCCUAGUGGUUUUCUACAGGAAGUCUUAAAAGUCUCAGGUCUCCUGACCACCACUGUUGCCCCAACAACAACUACCAACACCACACCACUUCCUACCCUUUUGCUGACCACUCCUUUCAAUACCACAAGUGUUGGAGGUUUUCCUGGCUGGGCUUUGGCCAUUAUCAUUCCUUGUGGCAUCGCUAUCAUUCUGGUACCGCUGUGGAUCCUGCUAUGUUGUAUGCUAUGUGGCUGCUGUGCAGCUGUAAGGAGACGCUGGCACAGACGCAGAUCUUACAAUGUACAGUACACCACCAGAAAUGGACUCUUCUGAGGUGACAACACUAACAUCAGUAGGCAACUGUCAUCACAAGAACAGUCAAUUAUCUAUCUAUAUCUGCUAAUCAGGAGGUUUCAUUGGGUACUUGCAUCUAUUUUUUUAACACAAAAAGAAAAUUCAUAAUGGGCUUAAUAAUCCACAGGUGUUUUGUGCAUUGUACAAUUUUUUAUAUUAUACAUCUGAUUGUUAAUCAAAGUUACAGCUGAGCUGAACAGCAUGUAUGUUUAUGUAUUUAUUAGCUAUGUAAUUUAUGUGGUUUCAAGCUGUGCUGUCCACUGACUAAAACAGUUUUCAGUUAUUUAUUGAAUGUAUAAUAAGGUAGAUAAAAAUAUUAAUUUGAGUUUUGUUAUUUCCUCUCUUGAUUAACUAUUAACUAACUUAUUUUCAACUGCAAUACAGUACUUGUUUCUUCAUCACACAGUUUGACAAAUGUAAUAAAGACUUUGCAAAUCAGUAUUAAGAAAACAUUGU